AUGUAUGUAUGUAUGCAUGCAUGCAUGCAUGCAUGCAUGUAUCUAU
ensembl:miRNA